rnacentral:rRNA from 1 species
AUUGAACGCUGGCGGCAGGCCUAACACAUGCAAGUCGAGCGGAUGAAGGGAGCUUGCUCCUGGAUUCAGUGGCGGACGGGUGAGUAAUGCCUAAGAAUCUGCCUGGUAGUGGGGGAUAACGUCCGGAAACGGGCGCUAAUACCGCACACGUCCUGAGGGAGAAAGUGGGGGAUCUUCGGACCUCAAGCUAUCAGAUGAGCCUAGGUCGGAGUAGCUAGUUGGUGGGGUAAAGGCCUACCAAGGCGACGAUCCGUAACUGGUCUGAGAGGAUGAUCAGUCACACUGGAACUGAGACACGGUCCAGACUCCUAAGGGAGGCAGCAGUGGGGAAUAUUGGACAAUGGGCGAAAGCCUGAUCCAGCCAUGCCGCGUGUGUGAAGAAGGUCUUCGGAUUGUAAAGCACUUUAAGUUGGGAGGAAGAGCAGUAAGUCAAUACCUGGCUGUUUUGACGUUACCAACAGAAUAAGCACCGGCUAACUUCGUG